rnacentral:rRNA from 1 species
GAUGAACGCUGGCGGCGUGCUUAACACAUGCAAGUCGAACGGAAAGGCCCAAGCUUGCUUGGGUACUCGAGUGGCGAACGGGUGAGUAACACGUGGGUGAUCUGCCCUGCACUUCGGGAUAAGCCUGGGAAACUGGGUCUAAUACCGGAUAGGACGAUGGUUUGGAUGCCAUUGUGGAAAGUUUUUUCGGUGUGGGAUGAGCUCGCGGCCUAUCAGCUUGUUGGUGGGGUAAUGGCCUACUAAGGCGUCGCCGGGUAGCCGGCCUGAGAGGGUGUAGGGCACCACUGGAGGAGAGACACGGUCGAGAGUGCUGAGGGAGGCAGGAGUAGGGAAUCAUGCGGGAUGGGGGAAAGGUGGACGGAGCAAUGCGGCGUGAGUGAUGAAGGGCUUGGGAUCGGAAAAUUCGGUUAGUAGGGAAGAACAAAUGUGUAAGUAACUAUGGAUGUCUUGAGGGGACCUAAUCAGAAAGCCAGGGCUAACUACGUG